rnacentral:rRNA from 1 species
ACUUUAUAAAGAGUUUGAUCCUGGCUCAGGACGAACGCUGGCGGCACGCUUAACACAUGCAAGUCGAACGGAGAAUAUUUGGUUUACUGAGUAUUCUUAGUGGCGGACGGGUGAGUAACACGUGAGCAACCUGCCUUUGAGAGAGGGAUAGCUUCUGGAAACGGAUGGUAAUACCUCAUAACAUACAGAGACCGCAUGAUUUUUGUAUCAAAGAUUUAUCACUCAAAGAUGGGCUCGCGUCUGAUUAGAUAGUUGGUG